AUUGAACGCUGGCGGCAGGCCUAACACAUGCAAGUCGAACGCGUGGCGGACGGGUGAGUAAUGUCUGGGAAACUGCCUGAUUGAGGGGGAUAACUACGGGAAACGGUAGCUAAUACCGCAUACCAUCGGAUGUGCCCAGAUGUGAUUAGCUAGUUGGUGGGGUAACGGCGCACCUAGACGACGAUCCCUAGCAGGUCUGAGAGGAUGACCAGCCACACUGGAACUGAGACACGGUCCAGACUCCUACGGGAGGCAGCAGUGGUGAAUAGUUCACAAUGGGCGCAAGCCUGAUUCAGCCAUGCCGCGUGUAUGAAGAAGGCCUUCGGGUUGUAAAGUACUUUCAGCGGGGAGGCGUUACCCGCAGAAGAAGCACCGGCUAACUCCGUGCCAGCAGCCGCGGUAAUAC
rnacentral:rRNA from 1 species